rnacentral:rRNA from 1 species
ACGUAGGGGGCAAGCGUUGUCCGGAUUUAUUGGGCGUAAAGAGCUCGUAGGCGGUUCCGUAAGUCAGGUGUGAAACCUCCAGGCUCAACCUGGAGACGCCACCUGAUACUGCGGUGACUGGAGUCCGGUAGGGGAGCGUGGAAUUCCUGGUGUAGCGGUGAAAUGCGCAGAUAUCAGGAAGAACACCCGUGGCUAAGGCGGCUCUCUAGUACGGUACUGACGCUGAGACGCGAAAGCGUGGGGAGCGAACAGGA